rnacentral:rRNA from 1 species
GAGUGCGCAGGCGGUUUUGCAAGACCGAUGUGAAAUCCCCGGGCUUAACCUGGGAACUGCAUUGGUGACUGCAAGGCUAGAGUGUGUCAGAGGGAGGUGGAAUUCCGCAUGUAGCAGUGAAAUGCGUAGAUAUGCGGAGGAACACCGAUGGCGAAGGCAGCCUCCUGGGAUAACACUGACGCUCAUGCACGAAAGCGUGGGGAGCAAACAGGAUUAGAUACCCUGGUAGUCCACGCCCUAAACGAUGUCUACUAGUUGUCGGGGAUUAAUUUCCUUGGUAACGCAGCUAACGCGUGAAGUAGACCGCCUGGGGAGUACGGUCGCAAGAUUAAAACUCAAAGGAAUUGACGGGGACCCGCACAAGCGGUGGAUGAUGUGAAUUAAUUCGAUGCAACGCGAAGAACCUUACCUGGUCUUGACAUGUACGGAACCCUCCAGAGACGGAGGGGUGCCUUCGGGAGCCGUAACACAGGUGCUGCAUGGCUGUCGUCAGCUCGUGUCGUGAG